rnacentral:lncRNA from 1 species
ACAUUGCUAUCUUCCCAGAAUCCCACAUUCCCCUUCUUCUGGCCCCUCGUCUCUCCCCCAAUAUUCGAUCAGUCAGCAAAUCUUGAUUCCACUCCUGUAUUAUUAGUUUCUGUGUCUGUCCCCUUUCCCUGCCUGCUAAACCUGACUUACUCCACACUCCUAGUCUCCAUUACACCUUCCUCAGCCUGGUUCUUUAAAGGUAGGUGUACCUCAAUGCUCAGUCCUGAGCAAUCUCUUCUUACCACCCAUCCUUUGGCUGAUUCCAUCCAUUCCCAUGUUGGCAAUUCCUAAACUCUCUAUCUUCAGGCUAGAACUUUCUUUUGAACCCUAGACCCAUGUAUCUCCACUCUGUCUCAUAGGUUCAUCAACCUCAACAUGUCCAAAGCUCAACUCAGCAUGUUCCCCAUAACUCUGUUUUGCUUCCUGAGUUCCUCAUCUUGAUGAAUGAUACCAUCCCCAACCUUGUUGGCCAAACCAGAAACAUGGCCAUCAUUUCUUAUCACUCCUGUUUUGUACCCUCUUCUAAAUAUCUUUCAAAUCUUGUCUUUACCCCUGCCUCUCUUCCCACCUCCAUGCUAGGCUUCUCACUACCACCAUUAGAUGACUUUGUAGCCAUCUCCUAACAGUCUCUUUGCCUCCUGUUUGAGUCCUCCCAUCAUACCCAUUCAUUCUCCACAUCCAACCAGGUAGCUCUUUAUAAAAAACUAAUCAAGUUACUUCUGAUUAAAACCCUUCAAUGACUCCCAUUUACUGUCAGGAGAAAAGUUUAAAUCUUAUCAAGCCCCUUCCUGAUUUUGCCUCUGUUUAUGUUUGCAGCCUUGUUACCUCUGUUUUCCCCUUUCACACUCCCCACUCCAGCUAGCCUGUACCAUUUCCAUGUCCCAUAACAUACCACGGUUUUUAUUUGUUUUUUUCUUUUUUUUAGAGACAGGGUCUAGCUCUGUCACCCAGGCUGGAGUGCAGUGUCGUGGUCAUGGCUCACUGCAGCCUCGAAUUCCUGGGCUCAAGUGAUCAUUCUGCCUCAGCCUCUUGAGUAGCUAGGACUACAGGCAUAUGCUACCAUGCCUGGCUUUUUUUUUUUUUUUUUUUUUUGAGACAGAUCUCACUUUAUUGCCUAGGCUGGAGUGCAAUGGCGCAAUCUUGGUUCACUGCAAGCUCUGCCUCCCGGGUUCAAGCAAUUUUGCUGCCUUGGCCUCCCGAGUAGCUGGAAUUACAGGCACAUACUACCAUGCCCGGCUAAUUUUUGUAUUUUUAGUAGAGACGGGGUUUCACCAUGUUAGCCAGGUUGGUCUUGAACUCCUGACCUCAGGUGAUCCACAUGCCUUGGCCUCCCAAAGUUCUGGGAUUACACACGUGAGCUACCACACCCGGCCACCUGGCUUUUUUAAUUUUUUUUUUUUUUCAGUAGAGAGAGAGUCUCGCUAUGCUGCCCAGGAUGGUCUUAGACUCCUGGCCUCAAGUGAUCCUCCUGCCUUGGCCUCCCUAAGUGCUGGGAUUAUAGGCUUGAGCCACUGUGCCUGGCCAACAUAACAUGCUUAAGCCCAUCUUAGCAUUUAUCACAUUGUGUGUUAUUUGCUUGUUUACUUCUCUCUGUCUCUCAGUAGACUAGAAACUACUUAGGACAGGAGCUGACUUGUUUCUCCAAGUAUUCCCAUUGCUUUGUACAGAGUUUACCAUUUAACAAAUACUUGUGAAAUGAAUAAAUGUAUCUUAAAAGUAUUGAGGAAUCACUGCAGUAAUUUUAAAUAUAGCAAUAUAAUCAGAUUUGUAUUUUUAAAAUAUCAGUAUGGGAAGUGGUUUGAAGUGUAACAGUCUACAAAGUGAUGUGUGGGAAAAGUAUUAGAACUCAUAUUUAUUUUUAGCUACAUAGAAAAUUAAAUUUUACUAAUAUUCGAUUAGCAUUAGGACAUGUCAAUCGCUUAUCAAUAAAUGUACAAAUUUGGAGGAUAGUUUAGUGUUUGAAUUGGGGGGAUACUUAGAAAUAAAUAUACAAAUUUGGAGGAUAAUUUAGUGUUUGAAUUGGGGGAUAGUAGAGGUAGGAAAAUUAGGAUCAAGAUGCCACUAUAGUAAUACAGUUGAGGAACAGUAAGGGCCGAAGGACUUGAUUUUUGAUAAUGGACAGGAGUGGCUUAGGGUAAUUCUUACGCUUCUGACUUGGGUAAGGUGAAUGAUAACAGUCAGUGAAUCUCGGAGCACAUGUACACUUUUUCUGUUGGAGUGUUGCUCCCUGGAGGCAAGACUGUCUUAGUCAUGUUUGUGCCUCUCUCCUGAGAACACCAUUUAUUCAUUCAAGCACUUAUUAGUUCAUUCAGAAAAUACUUAGAAGGUCUACUUUGAAUGAGCUGCUGUCCUUGGUGCUAGAGAGAGGAUGAACAAGAUACUAGAGGUCCUGGCCCUCGAGCAACUCACAUGGAUGGGUAAGGGUGAGGGGAGACUAACAAUAAACAGUAAGCAAAAAAUAUCAUGAAGGCGCCAUGAAGGAAACAGACAAGUUAGGGAGUAGUUGUAGAUAGGAGAGUGUCAGGGAAGGUAUCUCUGAAAAGCCUUCAGUUGAGCUCAGCCCUCAGGGUUAACAGAAACCCAGCUUUGUCAAGAGGCUGUCUGUAGCAUUUUGGGUGGAAGGAACAUGAAGUACAGUGGCCCAAAGUGGGAAAGAACUUGAGGUGUUAGAGGAACAGAAAAGAGGCCUGUGUGACUGGAACUGAAUAAACAAGGAGGAGCAACACGGAUGGAGUUGGAGAGAGUACAGGCCUUACUGGCUGUGGGUAGGAGUCGACAUUGUCUUCUAUGCAGUGGGAAGACAUCAGAGUUGAAGCUGGGAAGUGAACUUUUCUGAGUUGCACUUUUAAAAGACUGAGGAAGAAACGUAUUUGGAGGAAUCAAGUAUUCAGUUUCAGACAUUUUAAAUGUGAGAUGCAAUGUUAAGCCUACCUUGUUUAUUUAACUAGUUGAACCUCCAGGCAUUUAAUUUCUUCUGUGUUUAUCAUAGCUAGGUCCUCUAGAAUUCUGCAGAUAUGUACCAGGCAUAAGACUGAGUUAAUGAGUCAGAUUAGGAGGAGGAGGGGGAACAGCCAUCAUAUGUUUUCUCUGCUCUGAGCACUUUGUAUUUGUGCCAGUAGUGCAGCUCCAAACCCACCUGUCAGCCCCAAACCCACCCUUCUAUACUUUGCUUAGUAAU